UUCACACAGAUAGUAUUAUUUGAGAGGAAGGCCCAAUAUAUUAAGACACCAUGAUCUUUUAUCCAAUUCAAAAAGCAACUCAACUUACAGAAAUAUCUUGGAUGUCAAGAUAAGGAUGGGGAAGAUCAGAAGACAGCAGACUCUGUGAAGGAAAGAGAUGGUCUUUUGCUUUGUUUUCAACAUUAAAUAGUAUUCCGAAAGGAAUUAUUGGUAAGAUCUGGGCCAUGUAGGCUUCACAUGUGGAAGGAUGAAGACCUAUGACUGAAACGUUUCCAAUAUCCCAGAGGCAUCACUGACAUUUAUCUUAAUAGGACAAUGAAAGAACAGAUACAAUUUCUAUACAAAUGGAAUACCCCAAACAGAAUUUCAUCAUGGGGAGCGGGGAGAGAGAGAGAGGAGGAAGAGGCACAGGGUAGUCAGAGGUUCAGAGAAAAUAGUCCUGAACACGCAGGGUCUCCUUAGAGGAUGGUCACUGCUCAAAGGCCAAGUUCUCAAAGCAGUUUUAUACAGUUGAAAGUCACUUCAUUAAACUUUACAGAGUGUGGAUCCAUAUUUACCAUGAGUGGUUUCCAGUUCACAAACACAGGACUGGGUGGUCAACUCAAUGGACUACACAAAGGGAAAUUAAUGAAUCUACAUCUAAAAGCACAACUUUCUGACUUGCACCCAAAAUAUAUUCUGAAUAAUAAGAAAACAACCGAAUUAAAAAACAAAACAAAACUCUGAACUGACAUGUCAACAAAGAAGAUAUAUGGAUGGCAAAUAA